UCCAAGGUGAAGGCGCAAAAGCGCUCAUUGAAAUCGCGGCCGACUUCGUUUAGUUCUGGCACUAGGAAUUUAUAGACGCCAUCCCGUCGUGUGGCGUCCUCCAGCUCGUAGCAGUCCGCCUUGGCUGGUUGCAUUGGAUCUGCAGUGCAUCGAUUGUCAGCGCGCGCGUCUUUAAUUCGUUCUGGCAGGACAUUGAUGAGUGGGUGAGCCGUACACCCAUUUAAAUUAAUGCAAAAUAUGAGGAAUACGUAAAGACAUUAAAGUGAGAAUGAGAAUAAGAAUAGAGAAUUCAUAGAUAUUGAAUGGAAAUGAUUCUCUUCAACGAUAAGACCACAUUAAAGGAUGAUAAAUUCUUCCCAUUUCAUAUUGGAUCGAAUACCUCCAAGUAGCCUCUAAGCCUACUGUAUCCUAGAACUAAUUUUCAACGUCUAAUAGAACGUGUGACACGAACAAAUUGAAACAUUUACAAUGGAGAAACUCGCACAGAAGCAAUACCCAAAGGCAAGAGGAUUACUUACAUCGUCAGCGACUUCUGUUCGUUAUUAUUGUAGGUGACCAUCUCGUCGGCAGACUCGCCGCCAGAGCUCGACUCUGUCGCAUCCGAAUCAAUGGC